GCUCUGGGCAUUCCGGAGGGACUUCAGAGUCACAGAGAGCCUUGGACUUCGUACUCAAACAAACCAACUCUGAAAAGACAGGAGACAACCAGGGAAAUUUCAACACUGCUAGCAGAUUAUCACAAAGAAUUCAAGGGUCGUGUUUUAGGCAAGAGCACAAGGAAACAAGCAGAAGGAAUUCAGAGAAACAGCUCCAGGCUCCAGCUCAAAGGCCGACACCAAAAGCGAACACCUCUGGGCGCUCUUGCCUUCAAGAAGGUGGGGAGGCUCACAGACGCAGCAUCCACCCCUCGCAGGGAACCUCAGUUCCUGGCCUGUGGUCCCAUGAAGGACAUCAGGCUGGCAGAUUGGAGCACACCCCUUCUUUCUAACCCCUCUUGAAAGCUUCCUUGAAUCUGCCAGUCCUGCCCCCUGGAGCAGGAAGGAAAACAGAAGGCCUAGGACGCUAGAGGGGUCCCGAGCUUUCCGGAGCUCCAGCCACCAUCAGGUCUGACUGCUCAGGGACAGACACACCGACCACAUCCUGACCUCAGGAUGACCUGCGGAAGUACUUGGCAUUUCUUCUUAGCCAAAUCCCUUCAUUAAAAGACGGGUGAGGG
rnacentral:lncRNA from 1 species